rnacentral:rRNA from 1 species
GAUGAACGCUAGCGAUAGGCUUAACACAUGCAAGUCGAGGGGCAGCAUGGUCUUAGCUUGCUAAGACUGAUGGCGACCGGCGCACGGGUGCGUAACGCGUAUGCAACUUGCCUCACAGAGGGGGAUAACCCGUCGAAAGACGGACUAAUACCGCGUACACUCCAUCUUGGGCAUCCAAGUUAGAGGAAAUGAAAUUCGCUGUGAGAUAGGCAUGCGUCCCAUUAGCUAGUUGGUGAGGUAACGGCUCACCAAGGCGACGAUGGGUAGGGGAACUGAGAGGUUGAACCCCCACACUGGUACUGAGACACGGACCAGACUCCUACGGGAGGCAGCAGUGAGGAAUAUUGAUCAAUGGGCGAGAGCCUGAACCAGCCAAGUCGCGUGAAGGAUGACUGUCUUAUGGAUUGUAAACUUCUUUUAUACGGGAAUAACAAGAGUCACGUGUGACUCCCUGCAUGUACCGUAUGAAUAAGCAUCGGCUAACUCCGUG